AUAGGGUCAAGCGACUAAGUGCAUCUGGUGGAUGCCUUGGCGAUCACAGGCGAUGAAGGACGUGUAAGCCUGCGAAAAGCGCGGGGGAGCUGGCAAUAGAGCUUUGAUCCCGCGAUAUCCGAAUGGGGAAACCCGGCCCUUAGGGGUCAUCCCAGACUGAAUACAUAGGUCUGAGGAGGCGAACUCAGCGAACUGAAACAUCUAAGUAGCUGAAGGAAAAGAAAUCAACCGAGAUUCCGUAAGUAGUGGCGAGCGAACGCGGAACAGCCUGUAUGUGAUAGAGAUUGCGUUAGUGGAAGGUUAUGGAAAGGACCGCCAUAGUGGGUGAUAGCCCCGUACACGAAAACGCAUUCUUGGUACUAAGCAUACGAGAAGUAGGGCGGGACACGCGAAAUCCUGUCUGAAGAUGGGGGGACCAUCCUCCAAGGCUAAAUACUCGUGAUCGACCGAUAGUGAACCAGUACCGUGAGGGAAAGGCGAAAAGAACCCCGGGAGGGGAGUGAAAUAGAACCUGAAACCGGAUGCAUACAAACAGUGGGAGCGGACGUGUUCCGUGACUGCGUACCUUUUGUAUAAUGGGUCAGCGACUUACGUUCAGUAGCGAGCUUAACCGAAUAGGGGAGGCGUAGGGAAACCGAGUCCGAAUAGGGCGCUUUAGUUGCUGGGCGUAGACCCGAAACCGAGUGAUCUAUCCAUGGCCAGGAUGAAGGUGCGGUAACACGCACUGGAGGUCCGAACCCACUAGUGUUGCAAAACUAGGGGAUGAGCUGUGGAUAGGGGUGAAAGGCUAAACAAACUCGGAGAUAGCUGGUUCUCCCCGAAAACUAUUUAGGUAGUGCCUCAUGUAUCACUUCCGGGGGUAAAGCACUGUUAUGGCUAGGGGUCAUUGCGAUUUACCAAACCAUGGCAAACUCUGAAUACCGGAAAGUGCGAGCAUGGGAGACAGACGGUGGGUGCUAACGUCCAUCGUCAAGAGGGAAACAACCCAGACCGCCAGCUAAGGUCCCAAAUGAUCAGUUAAGUGGUAAACGAAGUGGGAAGGCCUAGACAGCCAGGAUGUUGGCUUAGAAGCAGCCAUCAUUUAAAGAAAGCGUAAUAGCUCACUGGUCGAGUCGUCCUGCGCGGAAGAUGUAACGGGCUCAAACUGAUAACCG
rnacentral:rRNA from 1 species